GACGAACGCUGGCGGCGUGCUUAACACAUGCAAGUCGAACGGCAGCACGGGUGCUUGCACCUGGUGGCGAGUGGCGAACGGGUGAGUAAUACAUCGGAACGUACCUUAUCGUGGGGGAUAACGCAGCGAAAGCUGUGCUAAUACCGCAUACGCCCUGAGGGGGAAAGCGGGGGAUACAAAGACCACGGGCGAUUAGAGCGGCCGAUGCCUGAUUAGGUGGUUGGUGGGGUAAAAGCCCACCAAGGCGACGAUCAGUAGCUGGUCUGAGAGGACGAUCAGCCACACUGGGACUGAGACACGGCCCAGACUCCUACGGGAGGCAGCAGUGGGGAAUUUUGGACAAUGGGGGCAACCCUGAUCCAGCAAUGCCGCGUGAGUGAAGAAGGCCUUCGGGUUGUAAAGCUCUUUUGUCAGGGAAGAAACACCGGCUCUAACACAGUCCGGGAAUGACGGUACCUGAAGAAUAAGCACCGGCUAACUACGUGCCAGCAGCCGCCGUAA
rnacentral:rRNA from 1 species